GUAUGUUUCAUCUGAAUUGUGUUGUUCGUGCGGCGUUCGGUUAUUUUAGCAGGGAUCUGAGCGGUAAUCUCACGAAUGAUACCCUCAGACCCCAGCUAUCUACCGAACGUCCAUUUGUGUAAAUCCACUAUAUAUUCACCAAGUUAUUGAUUUUUAUGUGAAUUAUCGGUUCUGCUGCACGAGGGGAUAAUCCACUUAACGGUGCAUUCUGGGAAGAUUAUCCCUCUCGUGCAGCGGUGCCUGAUGGGAGAAAUAUGCUGUAAUUUAAGUCUCCCAUGUAGUCCCCUCCUGUACAACCCCUGUAAUGUCAGUAAGGAAACCCCUUGCAUGGGGAACUGCAUAAAUACUG